rnacentral:rRNA from 1 species
UAGGGAAUCUUGCACAAUGGGCGAAAGCCUGAUGCAGCGACGCCGCGUGCGGGAUGAAGGCCUUCGGGUUGUAAACCGCUUUCAGCAGGGACGAGGCGAAAGUGACGGUACCUGCAGAAGAAGCCCCGGCUAACUACGUGCCAGCAGCCGCGGUAAUACGUAGGGGGCAAGCGUUAUCCGGAUUCAUUGGGCGUAAAGCGCUCGUAGGCGGUCUGUUAGGUCGGGAGUUAAAUCCGGGGGCUCAACCCCCGUUCGCUCCCGAUACCGGCAGACUUGAGUUUGGUAGGGGAAGGUGGAAUUCCUAGUGUAGCGGUGGAAUGCGCAGAUAUUAGGAAGAACACCAGUGGCGAAGGCGGCCUCCUGGGCCAUAACUGACGCUGAGGAGCGAAAGCUAGGGGAGCAAACAGGAUUAGAUACCCUGGUAGUCCUAGCCGUAAACGAUGGACACUAGGUGUGGGGGAAUAUUUCUUCUGUGCCGCAGCUAACGCAUUAAGUGUCCCGCCUGGGGAGUACGGCCGCAAGGCUA